UGCGGCAACUGUGUGAUGCCAUCAUGUCAAUAUGGACCAAACUCCCUGAGGAAUGCUUCCAGCACCUUGUUGAAUCUAUGCCACGAAGAAUUGAGGCAGUUCUGAAGGCAAAAGGGGGUCCAACCCGUUACUAGCAUGGGGUACCUAAUAAAGUGGCCGGUGAGUGUAUAUGGCUAAACCUCGGGGUCAGUCACUAUGGUAACUGAGCCUGUGGACCUAACUCAACUCAAGGUUUAUUUUCUUAAAUAAACCUUGAGUUUCUUUCAUAGUCUCCUCCCUCUGACACUAGCCCAGCCAAUGACACAGCGCUCUUUCAUUUCCUCAUUCAUUUAAUUACUCCGUAUCGGGCGUAUUAUAGGGCUGUUUCCACAUAUGAACAAAAUAAGAUCUGUUACGUUACAUGGGUGUGUAUUUCAAGCCUGUGUGUAGUGCAUUCUAAGAGUGUAAAAUGUCAUUUUCCCACUGGGAAUUAGUAGAACGUAUGGAUUAUUAUUAGUGUGUAACUAACACUAAUGACACUAUAUUGGAACCGAGCAGCAAUUGUUUCCCACGCCGUUUCUCUUGUCAUUUGCUGUAGUAGCAGGGUUUGCUUUUGUUUGUCAUUAUGGGUUCAUACUCCCCGUACGCAAGCAGAGUUUGUUGAACCUCCUACUUGAAACGGACCCCAGGUGUUGUAGUACAACAAACGUGUUCAUUUACACAACAUAAGACAAGUCCUGUAGAUGGGAGACCUUAGUUGUUUGACUGCCCUCUUGGGCAGGUGUGUACUGACUUCUAUUAAACAUGCGUUUGAAUGUGAUCAGUUAAUUCCGAGAACAACCACUUCCCGAAAUGUUCCCUCUAAAAGAUCUACCACUAUGCAAAUUAGUGAUGGCGUCAUUUAGCGGCGCUUACCCCCACCCCGUUGUUACUUUAUUCACACAAACCACACACAAGCUGUUGUGUUGUGGUGAUUUUGUUGUAGGUUAUUCAUUGUUGUUAUAAAGUUAAAACCAUGACUCAAUCUCAACACACGUAAGACAACUAACUCCCGACUUGUAAAAAUGCAAACUGUUGCCUGCCUAACAGCAACUUCAGUUAUGUGAGAAUUUUCGUACGGUAAGCAUAUAAAUCAUAAUAAUAAGCAAAAGAGGGAAAACGGUAGAUGAAAUCUACUUACUGGGAAAGUAGUAGGCUCUUGCAUUUAAUAUUAUUUUAUGUGUUGGUUUUAUUGCUGUAUCUAUUGUUAUUAUUAUGUAAUUAUAGUGUCUACGUAGCCUAAAAUGUAUUCUUAUUUAGCCUAUACUGUGCCUUGAAAGUAAGCAAAUUAAAUUAAUGUUCCUCUGGAAAUUUACCCUAAUUUCAAACCCUUAUUCACUAUGAGCUGUGUCUAAUUCUAAAUAUCUUUCUACAACUAGAAAAUGCAUUUUCUGCUGAAAAUCAUGAGAAGUCCAGGACUACAGAUCAAUAAAUAUUUUAUUAAACAAUCAACAUAUAAAACAAAUAAUCCUAAUUUUAGAAAAGGAAACUUAAUAAGUUCCUACUUGGAUGUGUAGAGGUCUGCUGCUGCUGCUGUUGUACUUGUUUUGAAUGUGCAGUAAACUUAUUCGGUGCCUGGUGGAUGACUGGGAGUUUGAAAUGGGAGCACUACUUGUUCAUAAUGUGACACACAUAGCUUCCACAUUCCCUGUCGCUCCCUCCAGGAAAUACACAAAACCAAGAUCUGUUACUGAUGGAUUUAUUCCACUUAUGGACAUCUCUCUCCACACCAUCUUCAUACACCUUCGUACACCUUUAUCCACUUGUCCACAUUGGCUUCCACCGUCGAGCUAAAACACAUGUCGACAGGCUUCAAGCUAACAUUGCCCACUCAGAAUGCCAGGAACCUCGGUGUGACACUGGACUCCCAACUCUCCCUGACUGCCAACAUCACAGCGACAACACCAUCCUGUCUCUCUGCUACCGCCAUACGACCACUGCAGCUCAUCCAGAAUGCAGCAGCACGACUGAUCUUCAACCUUCCUUCUGCCACACCACACCACUUCUCCGUUCUCUUCACUGGUUACCAGUGGCUGCCCGCAUCCAGUUCAAAACAUUGGUUCUCACAUACCAUGCUGUAAAUGGAUCGGGUCCACUCUACAUCCAUGACAUGGUGAAACCCUACAUCCCAACCCGCACACUCUGAUCUGCAUCUGCCAAGCUGCUUGUUCCUCCCUCUGAGAGAAAAACACUCAGCGAGAUCGUGACUCUUUGCUGUCCUGGCUCCCAGAUGGUGGAAUGAGUUCUCUGAUGACAUCAGGACUGCAGAGAGCCUCUACAUCUUCCACCGAAAACUCAAGACACACCUCUUUAGACUCUACCUUGACUAAAACACUAACAAAUCGUAGCACUUAAAUUGUACUUAUAAUGGCACUUUUCUAUAACAUGUUUUGAAACUGCUUAUUUGAUGAAAAUUGUACUUUGUUACUUGUUCUUCUGAGUUUGUAUCUCUAUGUGGAAAUGCACUUAUUGUAAGUGGCUUUGGAUAAGAGUCAGCUAAAUGACAUGUAAUGUAACAUCAUGCGAAUGUACUGAACAAAUAUGUAUGUACGACAAAACCUUAAACGGAACAUACCUCACUGGCUGCAGACGACCAAGAGGGAAAUGAAAACAAUUUUAUUCAAAAACUACUUUAUGAGCACUAUGUCUUAAAUUAUUGAUUUAUAACAUUUCAUGCCGCUUCACAUGCUUCUUAAUGACACCAAAAUAUGUCCCCGUGAAACUAAUUAAGUAAACAUAGUUCCUCAAGGGUUCAAGGGUGUUUAUUUGUCAUUACAAUAACAAGUUAUGCAAUGAAAUGCUUAGAUCCCGCCCUCCCCAAUAUUGCAAUACAAUAAUAAAAAAAUGUAAACCCUAUCUACGAAAUAUACAUAAUAUAAAAUAUUAACACAAUACACUAGUAAAAAUAAAAAAUAGAUAGGUGACUGGGAUCAGAAGUGAUCUGCUUGGUUCUACCCUUGCACCUGAGGGUGUGGAGAUCCUGCAUGGAUGGCCACCUGUGAUGCGCUUCGCUCUUUUUAUAACCCUCUGUAAUGCCUUACGGUCGAGGGAGGUACAUCUGCCGCACCAUGCGGUGACACAUGCAGUCAGGAUACUCUCUAUAGUGCACCUGUAGAAAUUGGACAGUAUCCUUGCGUUCAUGCCAAAUCUCCUAUAGAUUAUUAGUAAUGGUAGAAGCGGUAUCAGUUGUAGAAGUACUAGUUUUACUAGUAUUUGAAAGAGCAAUACGUAUUUUAACGAAACUGAUUUAUCCUGAGCUUCAUGGUUAAAUUACAGAUAAUCAUUGCAGCUUUUAUUUUGAAAUGAUGGUAUUGAUUGAGAGACAGAAUAUUUGUUAUUCAAACUAAGAAGUUAUUAAAUGAUGUGCCUCAUCAAACAUUACAGUAAGAAUUCCCUCCAUGGGGGGUUUGUUUUGAAAUGAUGGGAUUGGGUGGGAAAGUGGAAAGAGGGAGGGAGGAAGGGAGAUGUCUCUGUUGACAGAAAGCAUAGCUGUGUCAUGUGACUCCACUAAUAAGCUGUUAUGGUUCAGCUGGCUGAGACCAACUGACAAACUGACAGUGGAGUAUCCAUGGCAACGGAAGGGCUGCUGAAAGGGCAGAGAGAGACAGCGAUUACACACAGAAUCCACACCUCAAACAAAUGUCCCCUGAAGCAUAACUUUAUCCAAAAAAUAAUUUCAUUUUGAGUGACCCAACCGCAUCAGUGUAGUUCACAUGUCUCUCUGUGUUUUAAAACUGCUCAACUAGCAGUUUACAAAACAUGUACCUUCUUUUUUUU